rnacentral:rRNA from 1 species
GACCGGUGCCAGCCGCCGCGGUAACACCGGCGGCCCGAGUGGUGAUCGUGAUUAUUGGGUCUAAAGGGUCCGUAGCCGGUUUGGUCAGUCCUCCGGGAAAUCUGAUGGCUCAACCAUUAGGCUUUCGGGGGAUACUGCCAGGCUUGGAACCGGGAGAGGUAAGAGGUACUACAGGGGUAGGAGUGAAAUCUUGUAAUCCCUGUGAGACCACCUGUGGCGAAGGCGUCUUACCAGAACGGGUUCGACGGUGAGGGACGAAAGCUGGGGGCACGAACCGGAUUAGAUACCCGGGUAGUCCCAGCCGUAAACGAUGCUCGCUAGGUGUCAGGCAUGGCGCGACCGUGUCUGGUGCCGCAGGGWWKCCGUGAAGCGAGCCACCUGGGAAGUACGGCCGCAAGGCUGAAACUUAA